rnacentral:rRNA from 1 species
AGCGAACGCUGGCGGCAGGCCUAACACAUGCAAGUCGAACGGAUCCUUCGGGAUUAGUGGCGGACGGGUGAGUAACACGUGGGAACGUACCCUUUGGUUCGGAACAACUCAGGGAAACUUGAGCUAAUACCGGAUGUGCCCUUCGGGGGAAAGAUUUAUCGCCAUUGGAGCGGCCCGCGUCUGAUUAGCUAGUUGGUGAGGUAAAGGCUCACCAAGGCGACGAUCAGUAGCUGGUCUGAGAGGAUGAUCAGCCACAUUGGGACUGAGACACGGCCCAAACUCCUACGGGAGGCAGCAGUGGGGAAUCUUGCGCAAUGGGCGAAAGCCUGACGCAGCCAUGCCGCGUGAAUGAUGAAGGUCUUAGGAGUGUAAAAUUCUUUCACCGGGGACGAUAAUGACGGUACCCGGAGAAGAAGCCCCGGCUAACUUCGUGCCAGCCGCCGCAGUAAAAC